rnacentral:pre_miRNA from 1 species
UUUGAUAUGACCAUUCGUCUUAUUUGAAAAAAAUUUACGAUUAAUAUUUUUGUUCUUACUAGAUGAUAAAAUAUAAAUAGUACUUUAUGCGUGACUAAUUUUUAAAAGUUUUUAUAUAAAUUUUUCAAAUAAGACGAAUGGUCAAACAUUAGACACGGAAAAAC